rnacentral:rRNA from 1 species
AAGGUCAGGCUGAAGACCUUACCCGAUUAGCUGAGAGGUGGUGCAUGGCCGUCGUCAGUUCGUACUGUGAAGCAUCCUGUUAAGUCAGGCAACGAGCGAGACCCACGUCCACAGUUGCCAGCAUACCCUCCGGGGUGAUGGGUACACUGUGGAGACCGCCGCUGCUAAAGCGGAGGAAGGAAUGGGCAACGGUAGGUCAGCAUGCCCCGAAUUAUCUGGGCUACACGCGGGCUACAAUGGGUGGGACAAUGGGUAUCGACACCGAAAGGUGAAGGCAAUCUCCUAAACCCAUCCGUAGUUCGGAUUGUGGGCUGCAACUCGCCCACAUGAAGCUGGAAUCUGUAGUAAUCGUGUCUCGAAAUGGCACGGUGAAUAUGUCCCUGCUCCUU